rnacentral:rRNA from 1 species
UUAAGCGACUAAGCGUACACGGUGGAUGCCCUGGCAGUCAGAGGCGAUGAAGGACGUGCUAAUCUGCGAUAAGCGUCGGUAAGGUGAUAUGAACCGUUAUAACCGGCGAUUUCCGAAUGGGGAAACCCAGUGUGAUUCGUCACACUAUCAUUAACUGAAUCCAUAGGUUAAUGAGGCGAACCGGGGGAACUGAAACAUCUAAGUACCCCGAGGAAAAGAAAUCAACCGAGAUUCCCCCAGUAGCGGCGAGCGAACGGGGAGGAGCCCAGAGCCUGAAUCAGUGUGUGUGUUAGUGGAAGCGUCUGGAAAGGCGCGCGAUACAGGGUGACAGCCCCGUACACAAAAAUGCACAUGCUGUGAGCUCGAUGAGUAGGGCGGGACACGUGGUAUCCUGUCUGAAUAUGGGGGGACCAUCCUCCAAGGCUAAAUACUCCUGACUGACCGAUAGUGAACCAGUACCGUGAGGGAAAGGCGAAAAGAACCCCGGCGAGGGGAGUGAAAAAGAACCUGAAACCGUGUACGUACAAGCAGUGGGAGCACGCUUAGGCGUGUGACUGCGUACCUUUUGUAUAAUGGGUCAGCGACUUAUAUUCUGUAGCAAGGUUAACCGAAUAGGGGAGCCGAAGGGAAACCGAGUCUUAACUGGGCGUUAAGUUGCAGGGUAUAGACCCGAAACCCGGUGAUCUAGCCAUGGGCAGGUUGAAGGUUGGGUAACACUAACUGGAGGACCGAACCGACUAAUGUUGAAAAAUUAGCGGAUGACUUGUGGCUGGGGGUGAAAGGCCAAUCAAACCGGGAGAUAGCUGGUUCUCCCCGAAAGCUAUUUAGGUAGCGCCUCGUGAAUUCAUCUCCGGGGGUAGAGCACUGUUUCGGCAAGGGGGUCAUCCCGACUUACCAACCCGAUGCAAACUGCGAAUACCGGAGAAUGUUAUCACGGGAGACACACGGCGGGUGCUAACGUCCGUCGUGAAGAGGGAAACAACCCAGACCGCCAGCUAAGGUCCCAAAGUCAUGGUUAAGUGGGAAACGAUGUGGGAAGGCCCAGACAGCCAGGAUGUUGGCUUAGAAGCAGCCAUCAUUUAAAGAAAGCGUAAUAGCUCACUGGUCGAGUCGGCCUGCGCGGAAGAUGUAACGGGGCUAAACCAUGCACCGAAGCUGCGGCAGCGACGCUUAUGCGUUGUUGGGUAGGGGAGCGUUCUGUAAGCCUGCGAAGGUGUGCUGUGAGGCAUGCUGGAGGUAUCAGAAGUGCGAAUGCUGACAUAAGUAACGAUAAAGCGGGUGAAAAGCCCGCUCGCCGGAAGACCAAGGGUUCCUGUCCAACGUUAAUCGGGGCAGGGUGAGUCGACCCCUAAGGCGAGGCCGAAAGGCGUAGUCGAUGGGAAACAGGUUAAUAUUCCUGUACUUGGUGUUACUGCGAAGGGGGGACGGAGAAGACUAUGUUGGCCGGGCGACGGUUGUCCCGGUUUAAGCGUGUAGGCUGGUUUUCCAGGCAAAUCCGGAAAAUCAAGGCUGAGGCGUGAUGACGAGGCACUACGGUGCUGAAGCAACAAAUGCCCUGCUUCCAGGAAAAGCCUCUAAGCAUCAGGUAACAUCAAAUCGUACCCCAAACCGACACAGGUGGUCAGGUAGAGAAUACCAAGGCGCUUGAGAGAACUCGGGUGAAGGAACUAGGCAAAAUGGUGCCGUAACUUCGGGAGAAGGCACGCUGAUAUGUAGGUGAAGCGACUUGCUCGUGGAGCUGAAAUCAGUCGAAGAUACCAGCUGGCUGCAACUGUUUAUUAAAAACACAGCACUGUGCAAACACGAAAGUGGACGUAUACGGUGUGACGCCUGCCCGGUGCCGGAAGGUUAAUUGAUGGGGUUAGCGCAAGCGAAGCUCUUGAUCGAAGCCCCGGUAAACGGCGGCCGUAACUAUAACGGUCCUAAGGUAGCGAAAUUCCUUGUCGGGUAAGUUCCGACCUGCACGAAUGGCGUAAUGAUGGCCAGGCUGUCUCCACCCGAGACUCAGUGAAAUUGAACUCGCUGUGAAGAUGCAGUGUACCCGCGGCAAGACGGAAAGACCCCGUGAACCUUUACUAUAGCUUGACACUGAACAUUGAGCCUUGAUGUGUAGGAUAGGUGGGAGGCUUUGAAGUGUGGACGCCAGUCUGCAUGGAGCCGACCUUGAAAUACCACCCUUUAAUGUUUGAUGUUCUAACGUUGACCCGUAAUCCGGGUUGCGGACAGUGUCUGGUGGGUAGUUUGACUGGGGCGGUCUCCUCCUAAAGAGUAACGGAGGAGCACGAAGGUUGGCUAAUCCUGGUCGGACAUCAGGAGGUUAGUGCAAUGGCAUAAGCCAGCUUGACUGCGAGCGUGACGGCGCGAGCAGGUGCGAAAGCAGGUCAUAGUGAUCCGGUGGUUCUGAAUGGAAGGGCCAUCGCUCAACGGAUAAAAGGUACUCCGGGGAUAACAGGCUGAUACCGCCCAAGAGUUCAUAUCGACGGCGGUGUUUGGCACCUCGAUGUCGGCUCAUCACAUCCUGGGGCUGAAGUAGGUCCCAAGGGUAUGGCUGUUCGCCAUUUAAAGUGGUACGCGAGCUGGGUUUAGAACGUCGUGAGACAGUUCGGUCCCUAUCUGCCGUGGGCGCUGGAGAACUGAGGGGGGCUGCUCCUAGUACGAGAGGACCGGAGUGGACGCAUCACUGGUGUUCGGGUUGUCAUGCCAAUGGCACUGCCCGGUAGCUAAAUGCGGAAGAGAUAAGUGCUGAAAGCAUCUAAGCACGAAACUUGCCCCGAGAUGAGUUCUCCCUGACUCCUUGAGAGUCCUGAAGGAACGUUGAAGACGACGACGUUGAUAGGCCGGGUGUGUAAGCGCAGCGAUGCGUUGAGCUAACCGGUACUAAUGAACCGUGAGGCUUAACCUU